rnacentral:rRNA from 1 species
GUCUAUGGCCAUGCCACCCUGAACAAGCCCGAUCCCGUCUGAUCUCAGAAGCUAAGCAGAGUCGGGCCUGGUUAAUACUUGGAUGGGAGACCACCUAGGAAGACCAGGUGCUAUAGGCA